AGCCUCUGAUGACAAACCUUUUUCAUCUCGUAUUAUCACUGUUUGUAUGUCUAUAACUCCACGCGCGGCAAUACAUUUCACUUGCAGCAGUUGACUCCAGAAAUAGUGCCGCUGUACGGGUCAUCUUGGCGCGCGUUUGGACAUAUUUCUGCUUGUCACUGAGUCCGUAUGCGUCAUAUAUAUGUAUAUAUAUAUAUAUAUAUAUCUAUACUGAUAAUUCUAUACAAAAGAUCUAUACUCAACUAUAGGACCACCACUUUAUGAUUCCAGUUAUUAAAUUCAAUAACCAACACAGAAAUUCGGCUCGCCGCGGAUAGCCACUGUGGACCAUUAGUCGUCUAUUCAACCUCUGUCGCAACUAUAGAGCUAUGCGUACAUGUCACCACCAAUCCAUUGUAUGUACAAUCUGGGUACAAUAGACGACAGUCCACCAGAUACUCGAUGAAGAUCACAACAAGGCUUUACCUAGUUAAUUAACAGAUCGUAUAUGUGUGUUGACCAGAAAAAAGACGGAAUGAUUCGUCAAUUAUUCCUUAUUUUUUGCCUUGCCAUGAUUUGACGAUAAACUGACUUCGCAGUUACAAAAACAUCCCACGUAAUCUAAUUAGCGUCUGUUCUCUCCCGGAUCUAUCAUCGGGCCACUCGCCUGUACUCUUUGGCCUAAACCAACAGCCAGUUAUUAAUGACAACCCCAUCAUGUUAACCUCUAACAGCACAAACUGGCUCAAAAUCAAAAAAUACAUAAGUUCACACAUUGAACUUACACCACGGCUAAUCGACGAAGAUGACAUCAACAGAACCGUAGACAAUCUCGAGACAGUUUUGGCUUCAGCGGAUCGAAUCGCAACACCACGUAGGCAAAAUAUAACACCAAGCACAUGGCAAUUAUCUCGAUCGCCAUCUGCAAAGCAACAGUUAAAAGAAGCUUCACGUCGACUCACGACAAGAAGAAGACAGAUCCCAACAGCGCUAUAUAGAGCAACUAUCUCCUACCAGCUCAAAAUUCCCACUUUGGAAAGCUCACUCAACACUGAGCUCACCAACAGUAACGGUUACGCCAAUAAGGACCCCUGCAGGUUGCUGGGCCCGAAGCGACAAGGACCGAGCCGACACAUUCGCUACCCACCUUCAAAAUGUUUUCCAGCCAAAUCCAGUAACAAACCUGCCUAAUAUACGUUUGCAAACAGAAGUGGACUUUCCUAUUGCCGAACCAAUUGUAUUUCGAGUAUGUGAAGUCAUAAAAAUUAUAAAAGAGAAGCUACAACCACGAAAAUCUCCGGUCUGCGAUCUAAUAACUCCAAAAAUGCUUAUUGAACUCCUACUAUGUGCUGUCGGUACUAUAUGCCAACUCUUCAACGCGAUGACAAGAAUCGGCUGCUUCCCGAAGAGGUGGAAAAAGUUAAUCAUCAUAAUGAUACCUAAGCCAGGAAAAGACCACACGAUCACCUCCUCAUACAGACCAAUAAGCCUACUUUCGUGUCUAUCAAAACUCUUUGAGAAAUGCCUUCUAACCCGUAUCAUACUUAAGAAGACACAUUAACCCAGCACAUCAAUUCGGUUUUCGCGAAAAACAUGGAACUAUCGAACAGGUGAACCGCAUAACAUUAGAAAUUCGAACAGCAUUCGAGAAUAGGGAGUACUGCACUGCGGUAUUUUUGGACGUCUCUCAAGCAUUCGACAGAGUAUAGUUUGACGGCCUAAUGCACAAAAUCAAAAUAAUGCUCCCUAAUAACACGCAUAAACUCUUGAAGUCAUAAUUUACAACAUCCCAUCCAGCGACAAUUACUAGGACUGCCUACCAUAAAUACAGUUUAAGAAACUGUUAGAAUACUGUAGUAUUUUAAAGAUUUAAACACAUUUUCUUAGUCUUGUAAGAGAAGAUUCGAAAUAUAAAAAAAAAAAAACUAGUAAGGUUUACGACUAACUAAAACUCAUCAGGACUUGAUUCUAGUGGUGCCAUCUGAGUGGCCGGGUAGAUUUCAAGUGCCCUGUUUUAAUAAUAAUUUUGAAUUUCUAUCACAUUGCUGUUACUGACACUUGGUGAAAGCAUGACAUUUCUUGAUACUAAAAUUUUUCUAAUGACUUUUCGGCAUACACGCAAGCUAAGUCAUUGUGGUGAUUUUUCGAUUAGUGUAAAUAUUAUUACAUUAUAAUUUAUAAGUUUUUAAAUUAUAUAUUUUUUUUAUA